GAUGAACGCUAGCGGCAGGCCUAACACAUGCAAGUCGAGGGGCAGAACAGAAACAGCAAUGUUCUGGUGGCGACCGGCGGACGGGUGCGUAACGCGUAUGCAACGUACCUUUAACAGGGGGAUAAAGGAGAGAAAUUACCAAUAAUAAACAAUAACAUCGUUCAAGGCAUCUUGAUUGGUUGAUAACUCCGGGGGUUAAAGAUGGGCAUGCGUUGUAUAAGGUAGUUGGUGAGGUAAUGGCGCAUCAAGCCUACGAUACAUAGGGGGACUGGGAGGUUAGCCCCCCACGCUGGUACUAAGACUCGGACCAGGCUCCUACGUGAGGCAGCAGUGAGGAAUAUUGGUCAAUGGGGGCAACCCUGAACCAGCCAUGCCGCGUGCAGGAAGACGGCUCUAUGAGUUGUAAUCUGCUUUUAAACAGGGUUAAAGCACAGUAUGGAUACUGUGUUGAAGGUACUGUAAGAAUAAGGAUCGGCUAACUCCGUGCCAGCCGCCGCAGUAA
rnacentral:rRNA from 1 species